AUGAACGCUGGCGGCGUGCUUAACACAUGCCAGUCGAACGGAAAGGCCCAAGCUUGCUUGGGUACUCGAGUGGCGAACGGGUGAGUAACACGUGGGUGAUCUGCCCUGCACUUCGGGAUAAGCCUGGGAAACUGGGUCUAAUACCGGAUAGGACCACUUCUUGGAUGUUGUGGUGGAAAGUUUUUUCGGUGUGGGAUGAGCUCGCGGCCUAUCAGCUUGUUGGUGGGGUAAUGGCCUACCAAGGCGUCGACGGGUAGCCGGCCUGAGAGGGUGUACGGCCACAUUGGGACUGAGAUACGGCCCAGACUCCUACGGGAGGCAGCAGUGGGGAAUAUUACACAAUGGGCGCAAGCCUGAUGCAGCGACGCCGCGUGGGGGAUGACGGCCUUCGGGUUGUAAACUCCUUUCGCUAGGGACGAAGCGUUUUGUGACGGUACCUGGAGAAGAAGCACCGGCUAACUACGUG
rnacentral:rRNA from 1 species